rnacentral:rRNA from 1 species
UACGUAGGGCGCAAGCGUUGUCCGGAUUUAUUGGGCGUAAAGAGCUCGUAGGCGGUCUGGCGCGUCGGCUGUGAAAGCCCGAGGCUCAACCUCGGGCCUGCAGUCGAUACGGGCAGACUAGAGUGUGGUAGGGGAGACUGGAAUUCCUGGUGUAGCGGUGAAAUGCGCAGAUAUCAGGAGGAACACCGGUGGCGAAGGCGGGUCUCUGGGCCAUAACUGACGCUGAGGAGCGAAAGCGUGGGGAGCGAACAGG